rnacentral:lncRNA from 1 species
GUGGCUCAUGCCUGUAAUCCCAGUACUUUGCGAGGCUGAGGUAGGCAGAUCACUUGAGGUCAGGAGUUUGAAACCAGCCUAUCCAACAUGGUGAAACCCCAUCUCUACCAAACAUACAAAAAAAAAAAAAAAAAAAAAAAAAAUUAGAUGUGGUGGCACGAGCCUAUAAUCCCAGCUACUCUGGAGGCUGAGGCAGGAGAACAGCUUGAACCCAGGAGGUGGAAAUCGCAAUGAGCUGAAAUUGGACCACUAUACUCCAGCCUGGGCAGCAGAACGAGACAAGGUAUUAAAAAAAAAACCAAAAACCACACACACACCAAAACAAAACAACAAGAAAAACAACCCUCCAGUUUCAGUUUCCUGCUUAGCUGGGACUACAGGUGUGUGCAACCACACCUGGCUAAUUUUUAAAUUUUUUUUUGUAGAGAUGAGGUCUUGCUUUGUUGCCCAAAGCUGGUCUUAAACUCCUGGCCUCAAGCCAUCAUCCCACUAGGCAUCCCAAAGCAGCAGGAUUCCAGGCAUGAGCCACUGCACCUGGCCAAGCUUAUUUUUGGUUAUUUAAAAAUAAAAAAGAAGAGAAAAAAAAAAAAACCUUUAAAAACAUCAUUGUUAAAAGCUAAGAUACAAACACAGACACUAGCCUAGGCACAGACAGGGUCAGAAUCAUCUACAUCACUGUCUUCCUCCUCCACAUCUUGUCCCACCUGGAAGGUCUUCAGGGGCAAUGGCACACAUGGAGAGCUGUCAUCUCCUGUGAUUACAAUGCCUUCUUCUGGAUACCUCCUGAAGGGCCUGCCUGAGGCCGUUUUACAGUUAAUUUUUUUUUUUUUUUUUUUUGAGACAGAGUCUCACUCUGUCACCAGGCUGGAGUGCAGAGGCACAAACAUGACUCACUGCAGCCUUGACUUCCUGAGCUCAAGUGAUCCUCCUACCCCAACCUUCCCUGAAGCUGAGAACACUAUGGGAGGCAUUCAUCACCAUGCAUGGCUAAUUUUUGCACUUUUUGUAGAGGUGGGGUCUCUCUUUAUUGCCCAGGCUGGUCUCAAACUUCUGGGCUCAAGUGAUCCUCCUGCCUCAGACUCCCAAAGUGGUGAGGCUUCAAAAUUGAUUUUAAAACUAAAGACUCUGAUGUACACAGUAAGCAAUAAAGAAACACAAUUCAAUGCAACUUAUUAA